GUGGACUUCCCCACUUUGCACAAUCAGAGUCACAGUGCUGCCGUGCCUCGCCCUAGAGACUCGCCCAGGUGUAGAGAGCCAAAGCUGCGCCCAGCGGGGACCCCCAAAGCUAUACACCGGGGAGCAACCGGCACAAGCUCAGGCCGCGAACCUACAGCCUUCCGCGUGUUCUGAGGCAAUCUAACCCUGGCUGUAUGCGCUGGCAGAACAGAAUCCUUCCACCUCACAGACCGACUCUGUUAUGACUGGGAAUCAGCAUGGAGAUAACAUCUGGAGGAGCUGACCUAUGUUAUGUGUGCAGUGAAGAGGAACAUGUGAUUGAUGGAUGCAUGACCAACUUGAAACUUCGGGGUAUUCUUCUGACUGAAAAGAAGCCAAUUCAAAAAGUUAAUUAUUCUGAAACAGGUUAAUUGGAUUCUCAAAGAAAAGAAGAGAGAAGGCAUAAGAGAACAGAAAAGUUUUUCCAUCUGUAUUCUACAACUGCAAGU